rnacentral:rRNA from 1 species
ACGGGGUGCAGCAGGCGCGAAAACUGACCAAUGCGCGAAAGCGUGAGUCGGUCAAUCCGAGUGUAGACCCAUCGGUUUACUUUUGUCAUGUGUACAACGCUUGGCGAAUAAUGUGAGGGCAAGACUGGUGCCAGCCGCCGCGGUAAAACCAGCUCAUAGAGUGGUGAUCAUGAUUAUUUGGCUUAAAGUGUGCGUAGCAGGGAAUUCUAAGUCCUCUGUGAAAUGUCAGGUCUUAAGCUUGACACGUGCAGAGGAUACUGGAAUCCUUGGGACUGGGAUAGGUGUAAUGUACGGUUUGGGUAGGGGUGAAAUCCGAUAAUCCAAGCCGGACAACCGGUGGCGAAGGCGUUACACUGGAACAGGUCCGACUGUGAGGCACGAAAGCUAGGGUCGCGAGCCGGAUUAGAUACCCGGGUAGUCCUAUGCUGUAAACGAUGCUCACUAAGUGUUAGGUAAUGCAAGACAUUCUCUAGUGCCGAAGCGAAAGCGUUAAGUGAGCCGCCUGGGAAGUACGUUCGCAAGAA